rnacentral:rRNA from 1 species
GACGAACGCUGGCGGCGUGCUUAACACAUGCCAGUCGAACGGAAAGGCCCUGCUUUUGUGGGGUGCUCGAGUGGCGAACGGGUGAGUAACACGUGAGUAACCUGCCCUUGACUUUGGGAUAACUUCAGGAAACUGGGGCUAAUACCGGAUAGGAGCUCCUGCUGCAUGGUGGGGGUUGGAAAGUUUCGGCGGUUGGGGAUGGACUCGCGGCUUAUCAGCUUGUUGGUGGGGUAGUGGCUUACCAAGGCUUUGACGGGUAGCCGGCCUGAGAGGGUGACCGGCCACAGGGGGAAUGAGAGAAGGCCAAGCCUCGGAGGGGAGGAAGAGGGGGGGAAUAUGACAAAGGGGGAGGAAGUCGGAGGCAGCAGCGCCGGGGGGGGGAGGCGGGCUUGGGGGUUGAAAACCGGUGUCGCCGGUGAAGAAGGGGGAGGGAGGGAAGGGGAAAAAGAAGAACCGGAUAACAUCGUG